GACGAACGCUGGCGGCGUGCCUAAUACAUGCAAGUCGAGCGCAGCGGGGACGGGUGAGUAACACGUGGGUAACCUCCUAAAAGACGGGGAUAACUUCGGGAAACCGGAGCUAAACCGGAUAUUUAUGGUUGGCUCCCGGUUGAAUUAGCUAGUUGGUAAGGUAACGGCUUACCAAGGCAACGAUGCAUACCCGACCUGAGAGGGUGAUCGGCCACACUGGAACUGAGACACGGCCCAGAAUCCUACGGGAGGAAGCAGUAGGGAAUCUUCCGCAAUGGGCGAAAGCCGGACGGAGCAACGCCGCUUGAGUGAUGAAGGUUUUCGGAUCGUAAAACUCUGUUAUUAGGGAAGCGGUACCUAAUCAGAAAGCCACGGCUAACUACGUGCCAGCAGCCGCGGUAAUAC
rnacentral:rRNA from 1 species